rnacentral:rRNA from 1 species
GUGCCAGCAGCCGCGGUAAUACGUAGGUGGCAAGCGUUGUCCGGAUUUAUUGGGUUUAAAGGGUGCGUAGGCGGCCUUAUAAGUCAGUGCUGAAAUAUCCCAGCUUAACUGGGAGGGUGGCAUUGAUACUGUAGGGCUUGAGUCGAGUUGAGGUUGGCGGAAUUGACGGUGUAGCGGUGAAAUGCUUAGAUAUCGUCAAGAACACCGAUAGUGAAGACAGCUAACUAAGCUCAAACUGACGCUGAGGCACGAAAGUGUGGGGAUCAAACAGGAUUAGAUACCCUGGUAGUCC